rnacentral:lncRNA from 1 species
GUGCAAUCAGACCUUGAACGCUCUGUCCACGGACAGAACAUCCUGUCCCUGGACAUCUGGCCGAGGACAGAGAACUCUGGCCACGGACCAACUGUUCAAUCUGUCCACGGAUGGAGAAUCCUGGCCACGGACAGAGCGUUCUAACCUUCAUUUAUUUACAUUGCAUCCGGUGCCAGAACCAGAUCCGGGAAAGCCUGUGUGUGUGUUGGCAAAGCCCGCUUUUGGGGACCGAAGUAUGAAUAAACACCUUUUUAUUGGGGUCUGGCAACAAAGUGUGGACCGAGUUUCGGUCCCGACUUUUUUGACCUCAAAUGGAUUCUACACUUUUCAAAACGUGUAUAUCUUAAAUAAAAACGAAGUCCCCCAAAGUCCGGAAAGUCGGAAAUUGAUACACACGGUGUGUAAAAAGUGUGUAAAUUUUUGGUCCCAUAUAGUUUAUAUGGGAUUUUUGUGUAAACUGCUUUACACCCCUGCCUCGUUUUCGACAUAAAAUACAUUCGGACCACAUAAUCACUUGUUGAACUAAUACUUCCGAGGUCGAAACGCUUACACAACUUUCUCUACUCAUGCGCAAAACGCGUAAUUGAAAAUAACGAUUUUGAUUGGUAAAUCAUGAACGAAAAUCGCGGGAAGAAAUUAAUCGUCAGUCAGCCAUGUAACUGAGUGGAUGGAAAUUGGAUCUUAUUGGAAAUACCGUGAAUUUUA